UACGUAGGGUGCAGGCGUUAAUCGGAAUUACUGGGCGUAAAGCGUGCGCAGGCGGCCUCUUAAGUCAGAUGUGAAAUCUCCCGGCUUAACUGGGAGGGUGCCUCGAAAACUGGCAGGCUUGAGGUGAGGAGAGGGAUGCGGAAUUCCAGGUGUAGCGGUGAAAUGCGUAGAUAUCUGGAGGAACACCGGUGGUGUAGACGGCUUUCUGGACCGUAACUGACGCUGAGACACGAAAGCGUGGGUAGCAAACAGG
rnacentral:rRNA from 1 species